rnacentral:rRNA from 1 species
GAUGAACGCUGGCGGCGUGCCUAAUACAUGCAAGUCGAGCGAACGGACGAGAAGCUUGCUUCUCUGAUGUUAGCGGCGGACGGGUGAGUAACACGUGGAUAACCUACCUAUAAGACUGGGAUAACUUCGGGAAACCGGAGCUAAUACCGGAUAAUAUUUUGAACCGCAUGGUUCAAAAGUGAAAGACGGUCUUGCUGUCACUUAUAGAUGGAUCCGCGCUGCAUUAGCUAGUUGGUAAGGUAACGGCUUACCAAGGCAACGAUGCAUAGCCGACCUGAGAGGGUGAUAGGCCACCCUGGAACUGAGACAGGGUCAAGAGUCCUACGGGAGGCAGCAGUAGGGAAUCUUACGCAAUGGGCGAAAGCCUGACGGAGCAACGCCGCGUGAGUGAUGAAGGUCUUCGGAUCGUAAAACUCUGUUAUUAGGGAAGAACAUAUGUGUAAGUAACUGUGCACAUCUUGACGGUACCUAAUCAGAAAGCCACGGCUAACUACGUG